GCAGAGAGCAGCACAUUUUUGGGUACCACUUCUUCAGAUAUGAGAAGAUCAGGCACAAGAACAUCAGAAUCUAAGAUAAUGACGGAUAUCAUUUCCAUAGGCUCAGAUAAUGAGAUGCAUGAAAACGAUGAGUCGGUUACCCGGUGAAGAAAUCAAGGAACCCGGUGAAGAAAUCUUAUUGAUGAAUAAAUAACUUUAAUUAUUUUGUCAUCAAAAGACCUUUCUUUAUGUCUUCUGUUAAUGUCAUGAGUUUGAAACUGCCGAGACAAACAUUCUGGUGUCUUAAAAGGAGGACAGACUCAAUACAAAUUAUCUCUCGGUUAUAAAAUUUAAUGGAAAAUACACAAGAAGAUAAUUUAAGGUGUGAGAAACUCAUCAAGUAAAAACAUUCCUGGAGAGUGACUUUGAAAGAUAUUUUCUCUAGGCUGGUUCACUUUAAAACAAGGACAUUUAGAUAUUUACCUUCCCCAGGGGCAUUUUGAGAACAUCAGGGAACUCACCACUGCCUAUGCGCCCCCUCACCACCGCUGAAGCAAAAAGAACACACCUGUUCAUGUUUUAUUGACAAAACAGUUGUGCCAUCAAGAGAUGAAACUAAAUUAAUGGUAGGAACUCUUAGCAUUCUUGAACUGUUUAAAAGUCGUCAGGGGUUGCUCUCACAUGACAAAAGCUCCAGGGAUCGGUGCCAGCAUUUGUACUGCCAGUUCAGGCACCUGCAGAUCUGGUGGAAAAGUGAGGGAGGUGAUUGCAGUUGCUUGGAGAUGCUCCAGGUGCAAAGGAGUUGUGUUGAGUCCACAGGAGCCUUACUGGUGCUGGAAAAGCAAGUCCUCCUGAUCUACCUCCCUACUGCCAAAGGAACCUAGGAUCAGUUCCUACGGACUGGCUGUGACGGGAAAGAAGCACCAGCACUCGCCUUAGAACUAGCAGCCAAGUCCAUCUAAAGUGACCAGGAUCCUAGACAUAACUAUGGAAAAAUUAGAACAGAAAAAAUGAGUUAGUCAAGGCUGAGGUUGAAGAAGAGCAGAAGAGGAUCUCCAAAUGAACUUUAGCACUUGAAGAACUGACUCAAAGCCCUGUGGCCUCCUUGAAUGACACAAAUGUGAGGCAAGAUUUUCCUGAAAAUAGCCUGCUCCCAGAGGAAAAGUGAAUUGCACCAUCAAAGAACAAAGACAGACUGGAAAGUAUGUGAUGGACCUCAGAUGUCCAGAGACUGAUCUUGAAUAUGAUCCUUUCCUCAAUUAUUCUGCGGAGGUACUUGGGGCAUCUAAAGCAAAGCAGGAUGAGGCUGAUCAACAGCACUUCUGCCACUUGAAAACACCUGUGAGUGAAGGUCGCCACACAUCCCUGGAGAGCCAAAGGCCUUCUGUUUCACCA
ensembl:lncRNA REXO6P RNA exonuclease 6, pseudogene